UUAUCAAUUUGACUAUGUGUUUGACUGGACGACUUUGAAGUAUCCACAAAUUAGUUCCAGUUCAAGAGGACGGCAAGCAAUUGGGAGAUUACCUUUGAAUCCAGGACCAUCUGUUGAAAGAGCGGAGAAGCCCCCAGUGGGGCAGGAUAUUAAAGAUAAGUUUUCUGGUGCUGCAGAGGCAUUUGCUCGAAAGAAUGUGUCUGGAACUGGUUUUACGGGGGACCGUUUGAGACAUAGAUCUUCAGAGCAUCUAUCAUCCUCCAGAGAUGUGCAGGCUGAUUCUGAAAGAGGUCGCAUGUCUCGCACCGACAGCACCUCAAGGAGGGCUGUGAUGUCAAGCAGCCGACCAAGCUCCUCUUCGCAAAAGAAUCAACCUGGAUUUGAAGCCAAAUCAUCGUCUGUUACUCGUGCUACUGUUGCAAAAGAGAGCAGGGACCAUGCCCUGAGGAGCUUUGAGCUGCUGACUAUUGGCACAGGGAGAAGG
rnacentral:misc_RNA from 1 species